rnacentral:rRNA from 1 species
CAGCAGCCGCCACGGUAAUACGUAGGGUGCAAGCGUUAAUCGGAAUUACUGGGCGUAAAGCGUGCGCAGGCGGUUAUAUAAGACAGAUGUGAAAUCCCCGGGCUCAACCUGGGAACUGCAUUUGUGACUGUAUAGCUAGAGUACGGCAGAGGGGGAUGGAAUUCCGCGUGUAGCAGUGAAAUGCGUAGAUAUGCGGAGGAACACCGAUGGCGAAGGCAAUCCCCUGGGCCUGUACUGACGCUCAUGCACGAAAGCGUGGGGAUCAAACAGGAUUAGAUACCCCAGUAGUCCCUGUCUCUUAUAC